rnacentral:rRNA from 1 species
UUAAAAGCUCGUAGUUGAACCUUGGGCCUGGCUGGCCGGACCGCCUCACCGCGUGUACUGGUCCGGCCGGGCCUUUCCCUCUGUGGAACCCCAUGCCCUUCACUGGGUGUGGCGGGGAAACAGGACUUUUACUGUGAAAAAAUUAGAGUGCUCCAGGCAGGCCUAUGCUCGAAUACAUUAGCAUGGAAUAAUAGAAUAGGACGUGUGGUUCUAUUUUGUUGGUUUCUAGGACCGCCGUAAUGAUUAAUAGGGACAGUCGGGGG